GACGAACGCUGGCGGCGUGCUUAACACAUGCAAGUUGAACGAUGACGACCGAGCUUGCUCGGUCUGAUUAGUGGCGAACGGGUGAGUAACACGUGAGCAACCUGCCCUUCACUCUGGGAUAACCUCGGGAAAUCGGGGCUAAUACCGGAUAUGAGCUCCUGUCGCAUGGCGGGUGUUGGAAAGUUUUUCGGUGAAGGAUGGGCUCGCGGCCUAUCAGUUUGUUGGUGAGGUAGUGGCUCACCAAGGCGAUGACGGGUAGCCGGCCUGAGAGGGCGACCGGCCACACUGGGACUGAGACACGGCCCAGACUCCUACGGGAGGCAGCAGUGGGGAAUAUUGCACAAUGGGCGAAAGCCUGAUGCAGCGACGCCGCGUGAGGGAUGACGGCCUUCGGGUUGUAAACCUCUUUCAGCAGGGAAGAAGCGAAAGUGACGGUACCUGCAGAAGAAGCGCCGGCUAACUACGUG
rnacentral:rRNA from 1 species